rnacentral:rRNA from 1 species
GAUGAACGCUGGCGGCGUGCCUAAUACAUGCAAGUCGAGCGAACGGACGAGAAGCUUGCUUCUCUGAUGUUAGCGGCGGACGGGUGAGUAACACGUGGAUAACCUACCUAUAAGACUGGGAUAACUUCGGGAAACCGGAGCUAAUACCGGAUAAUAUUUUGAACCGCAUGGUUCAAAAGUGAAAGACGGUCUUGCUGUCACUUAUAGAUGGAUCCGCGCUGCAUUAGCUAGUUGGUAAGGUAACGGCUUACCAAGGCAACGAUGCAUAGCCGACCUGAGAGGGUGAUCGGCCACACUGGAACUGAGACACGGUCCAGACUCCUACGGGAGGCAGCAGUAGGGAAUCUUCCGCAAUGGGCGAAAGCCUGACGGAGCAACGCCGCGUGAAUGAUGAAGGUCUUCGGAUCGUAAAACUCUGUUAUUAGGGAAGAACAUAUGUGUAAGUAACUGUGCACAUCUUGACGGUACCUAAUCAGAAAGCCACGGCUAACUACGUG